AGCUUUGUGCAGUGGCAUUAUCACAGCCACUAAGGUUUAUCCAAGACACAAUUAUUGCUAAUUGAAAACGAUUCAUCAGACAGUCUUAAUACAUUUAUUUUACCACAUCCUGCUACUAAAGCAAAUCCAUCCAUCUAAAUUGUUAAAUCUCUGUGAGGCAAGAUUUUAA
rnacentral:snRNA from 1 species